GGGAGUAAAGAUAGACUAGCUGCCUUAAAGUAAGGAUGAAAAGAUCCCUUAUAAAAUGAAAGAAAUAGAAAGUUUCGCUUUAAGAUGUUAGUAUAUCCCGAAAGAGUAAUAGUUAAAUCUAGCUCGGGUUUCGGUAGUCGUGACUGAGAGGUCGAUCGACCACAUUGGGUAUGAAAAAAGCCCAAUGCGUAACGUACAGCAGUGGGGAAUAUUGGUCAAUGGUCUAACGACUGAACCAGCAAUUUGGAGGAAUGAAAAACGAAUAAGUCGUCUAAAGUUCUAGAUAAAAAAUUUAUGAUGACUAAUUUUUAUCUAUAAGUCUUGACCAAAUUACGUGCCAGCAGUCGCGGUAAUACGUAGAAGACAAGUGUUAUUCAUCUUUAGCAGGUUUAAAGGGUACCUAGACGGAAGAUCAAGCCUUAGUAGGGACUAAUUUUCUAGAGUUUUAUGUGAGAAGAUCGAAUUACCUGAAGAGCAAUAAAAUGCAUUGAUACAGGGAAGACGGGUAGCGGCGAAGGCAAUCUUCUAUGUAGAAACUGACGUUGAGGGACGAAGCCUUGGGGAGCGAGAAGGAUUAGAUACCCUAGUAGUCCUUGGAGAAAAUUAUGAGUGCCAUAGACUAGGUACUAGUUUAUAAAUGAAAGUGUAAGCAUUCCACCUCAUGAGUAAAGCGGCAACGCCGAAAUUGAAAUCAUUAGACCGUAUCUGAAACCAGUAGUGAAGUAUGUUAUUUAAUUCGAUGAUCCGCGAAUAACCUUACCACCUCUUGAAUAUUUUUACCAAGCGCUGCACGGCUGUCUUCAGUUAAUGUCGUGAGAUUUUGGUUUGUUCCAUUAAUUAACGAAAACCCCAUGUUUUAUUUUAUAUAUAAAGCAGUUCACCGUUAUAU
rnacentral:rRNA from 1 species